GGGACACUACAUUAGUAUCUCUGCUGUUGCUUCUUAUGCAUUUUCAAACUUUACUCUAUUUGUUCCAUACAGGCUAGAGAAGCUAUACAGCAGAGUCUGGCCUCUGAUGAACAUGAGAAAGAGCAUGCGGAAAUCAACGAUAAGGAAGACUUGGCCACUAUGAAGAAUUCCGUCAACUAUGAUUCCAAUGUUGUAGGUAGAUCCGGAAUCAAGAUGAAGGCCCCCGAGCCUCAACAACCAUUAAGUUCAGGUGAUUCUGCAACUCAGGCCCCUGCUUCUAGAAGAAUCCGUUUGCAGAUGAGUACUUCACCUCGGUCAGUUGUUGAUAGCAAUGUGAGAGAUACAACCCCUGCUGAAGAAGAUAAUGUGCAGUCAACUAUUUAUGAGGUAAGGAUGGUCAACGAAGCCAACAUAAGCAUUGUAUAUACAUAUGUUCGGUGUUCCCAUCAAAUUCUAAGCGAGCAAUAUUGUCCCUUGCAGGUCAAGGAAGCCACGGAGAAGAUUUCUAAUUUCGAUGAGCAGGAAGCAGAGUCCCGUCUUUUGAAGUCAGACAUGGGCAGGAAAAUUACCGAUGGCUCACCAACAGAACUGGUUGAUGAGAAGAGGGCUGCUGAAGAAGCCCCAAUAACGUUGAGGUUAAGGACGGGAAGGGACGGUGCAUCACCCAGCAGCCAUAUGGGGCUGUCAGUGUCUUCGAAGGAACUGCCCAAACACCACGGCCUGAGUCCUACAUUUGUUAUUUUGGUUGGUAUUCCUUUAGCCGUAACCCUGUUCAUAGCAUUUAGUGGGAUUUGGAUGACAUUUAGAUCUUGACGUUGCACGGAGGAAGCCAUUGACGAUAGGCAUAGGCGCUUCGUUCCACGAUGUGUUUCAGUUGAAACGGGUUAUUAGGCUUGUAAAUUGCGUUCUCAUAUAAUCGUGCGGAUGUAACCUUAGAUGAGAUAAAUAAUGACAGUUUGUAGUUUGAUUUAGUCUGUUUCCAGACAACUCUGUUUUUCUAGAGUUUAGUUGGCUUAGUUUUCACUGGAAACAUAACAUAGAUCUGACGUGGCUAUUAUAUUUAGGGCUGGUUCGGUAUGGGAUACCGAACUGAAAAUGACAUACCAAAUCCCGAACCGAAAAUUUUCGGGACGAGAAUAAGAGGACCGAUCCCAAACCGAAACUUCGGGAUUCCCGAAUUUCGGUAUUCCCAAAAAAAUUUCGGUAUUUCGGGAUUUCCCGAAACCGAACUUGCAUUGAAAUCCAAAUCAACUAAUUGAAAUCGAAAACAUUCAAACCUGCAUGAAAAACCCAAAAUGAAAUCAGAGAAGUGACAGUGAAUCAGUGAAGAUUGAUGGGAGAUAGAGAGACAGAGUGAAGAGAUAGUUCGUCCUCCUCCUGACCCGAGCCCCUAAUUCGAAACCCUAAGCCCCAAUUCGAAACCCUAAUUUGAAACCCCACAUAGAGAAUCAAUGGAGAGAAUCGAAGGUGGGGAUGAAGCCGUGAUGUGUGGUGGUGGCCAGAGGGGAGAAAGUUCGUCAGAGUGAGACUGUGAGAGGGUGGUGGCUGCUAGGCUUCGAAUUCGAGAAGGAGAGACAGAGAGAAUCUAAGAGGCCAAAGAUAAGAAAUGAGAGAGAGUGAGUAUGGAUGUGUCGGCUUGGGUUUGAAUUGAGUUGAAGGAAUGUUUUGGUGGCUUCGCCUUUCUAGGUUGCAAAGCAGACAGCACCCAUGUGCUUUGAUAAAACUUCAAGCGCCAGGCACACAAUCAGAUCCUUAUCCCCACACUUAAGUUAUUCUAAUAAUAUAAAUAGGCCAUAUACAUAUAUUCCAACAUAUAUAUAACAAUAGGGUUUAAAGUUCGGUUCGGGAUGGGAAUACCGAACAAUUUUAAGUGUGAGACCGAAUCCCAUACCGAAAAAUUCGGGAUCGGUUUGGUUUCGGUAUCAAAAUUUUCGGGAUUUUCAGUAUGGUUUUUUUUCGGUUUGGUUUCGGUAUGGUUUGGGAUUUUCGGUAUUUUUUUUCACCCCUAGUUAUAUUUGUGUCAUUUGGCAAAAAAAUAAUUUUUUAAUACAUUUAAAAAUAAUUAAUUAAAGAAAAAUUAUUAAAAAAUAAAAAACCAAACCCUUAAACCUAAAACCCAUCUUCCCCAACCUUCGUCCCGCCCCUCACCAUAACCUUCCUCUCACUCUCCCCUCUCUCUGUUUUCCUAAUUUAUUUUUCAUUUUUUGCGAUUUUUUAAAUUUUUAUCUGAGCUGUUGAACUCGCGGGGAUAGUCGGAGAUUUUGCUUUUAGGUCCCUGGAAUUUCGUUAAUCUGCGAGGGAUUAGGGUUUUUGGAGGAUGAGAUUUGAAUGGGAUUUUGAGUUUCUGCAAUGGUACCUGCUGUGUCGACGACAUUGAACCCCAAAGCCACGUCCCAAGGAGGAGGUCGUCCUCAAAACGGCACCGUAAGGCCGCCUCUUUUGCCUUCGGAAUCCAACAAUGGCGUCGCUGUUCCUCGCCGCCCCAAAGCUCGGGAGGUCACUUCUCGGUACAUGUCCUCCUCCUCCUCCUCGCCGACAGAGUAGCAGCUGUGGCCUGCGAGGUUGCGGCAACCAAAUAGUAUGAGUAGGAGCUUGGAUUGUACGGAUGAGAGGAAGAGGGUGAGUGGAUCUGGGGCCAAUGUGGUUAGGGCAUGACGUUGAUGGGAGAUUGAGGUCGAAUUCUUACAAUUUAGGUUCAGUGAAGGCUACUGAGGGGAGGUGGGGUGGGGUGGGAUCGCUGGGGUUUUGGUGGUGAAGGUCGGGGAGGUGAAGAGG
rnacentral:lncRNA from 1 species